UACGUAGGGUGCGAGCGUUGUCCGGAAUCAUUGGGCGUAAAGGGCUCGUAGGCGGUCCAUCGCGUCGGGAGUGAAACGCUGGGGCUUAACCCCAGUCCUGCUUUCGAUACGGGUGGACUAGAGGUAGGCAGGGGAGAAUGGAAUUUCCGGUGGAGCGGUGAAAUGCAUUGAGAUCGGAAAGAACACCAACGGCGAAAGCACUCUGCUGGGCCGACACUGACACUGAGAGACGAAAGCUAGGGGAGCAAAUGGG
rnacentral:rRNA from 1 species